AAAAGCUCGUAGUUGGAUCUCAGUUCCAGACGGGUGGUCCGCCUACCGGUGGUUACUGCCUGUUCUGAACAGCCAGCCGGUUUCUCUUGAUGAUCUUCACCGGUUGUCUUGGGUGACCGGCAAGUUUACUUUGAAAAAAUUAGAGUGCUCAAAGCAGGCGUGACGCCUGAAUAAUGGUGCAUGGAAUAAUGGAAUAGGACCUCGGUUCUAUUUUGUUGGUUUUCGGAACACGAGGUAAUGAUUAAGAGGGACAGACGGGGGCAUUCGUAUUGCGACGCUAGAGGUGAAAUUCUUGGACCGUCGCAAGACGAACUACUGCGAAAGCAUUUGCCAAGAAUGUUUCCAUUAAUCAAGAACGAAAGUUAGAGGUUCGAAGGCGAUCAGAUACCGCCCUAGUUCUAACCAUAAACGAUGCCAGCCAGCGAUCCGGCUGUGUUCCUCAAAUGACACGCCGGGCAGCUUCCGGGAAACCAAAGCUUUUGGGUUCCGGGGGAAGUAUGGUUGCAAAGCUGAAACUUAAAGGAAUUGACGGAAGGGCACCACCAGGAUUGGAGCCUGCGGCUUAAUUUGACUCAACACGGGAAAACUUACCCGGCCCGGACACAGGAAGGAUUGACAGAUUAAGAGCUCUUUCUUGAUUCUGUGGGUGGUGGUGCAUGGCCGUUCUUAGUUGGUGGUGCGAAUUGUCUGGUUAAUUCCGAUAACGAACGAGGCUCUAGCCUACUAAAUAGACGUUCCGAUCAUCUCCGUCGGACGUUCUUCUUAGAGGGACAAGUGGCGUUUAGCCGCACGAGACAGAGCGAUAACAGGUCUGUUAUGCCCUUGGAUGUCCGGGGCCGCACGCGCGCUACAUUGAAGGAAUCAGCGUGUGCUUUCCCUGUCCGACAGGACUGGGUAACCCGUUGAACCUCCUUCGUGCUGGGGAUAGGAGCUUGUAAUUGUUCUCCUUGAACGAGGAAUUCCCAGUAAGCAUGAGUCAUAAGCUCGUGUUGAUUACGUCCCUGCCCUUUGUCCACACCGCCCGUCGCUACUACCGAUUGAAUGAUUUAGUGAGGUCUUCGGACUGGCGCUCGGAGCGGCCUUCGGGUCGCGCCGGCGUGCCGGAAAGAUGACCAAACUUGAUCAUUUAGAGGAAGUAAAAGUCGUAACAAGGUUUCC
rnacentral:rRNA from 1 species